AACGAACGCUGGCGGCGUGCUUAACACAUGCAAGUCGAACGCGAAAGGGACUUCGGUCCUGAGUAAAGUGGCGCACGGGUGAGUAACGCGUAGAUAACCUGUCUUCAUGUCUGGAAUAAUACGCCGAAAGGGGUACUAAUACCGGAUAUUCUUGCUUUUCAUAAGUUAUGCAAGCAAAGGUGGCCUCUGCAUAUGCUACUGCAUGAAGAGGGGUCUGCGUACCAUUAGCUGGUAGGUGGGGUAAUGGCCUACCUAGGCGACGAUGGUUAGCGGGUCUGAGAGGAUGAUCCGCCACACUGGCACUGGAACACGGGCCAGACUCCUACGGGAGGCAGCAGUGAGGAAUAUUGCGCAAUGGGGGAAACCCUGACGCAGCGACGCCGCGUGAGUGAGGAAAGGCCUUCGGGUCGUAAAGCUCUGUCAAGAGGAAAGAAGUGUACAAUGGCUAAUACCUGUUGUAUUUGACGGUACCUCUAAAGGAAGCACCGGCUAACUCCGUGCCAGCAGCUGC
rnacentral:rRNA from 1 species